AAGUCGUAACAAGGUUUCCGUAGGUGAACCUGCGGAAGGAUCAUUAAUGAAAUACAAUGUGUCUUUGUCUUUUUUUUUGUUGGCAACAACAGGAAGCGAAGAACCACCCCUUUCAUAUCCAUCCUACCUGUGAACUGUUUGUUUGGCCGCAUGGCCGAUCUUCCAAUUACAUAACAACGUCUUAGAAUGUUUGAUAAUAUUGCAAUGCAAUAAAAAAAAACAUACAACUUUUAGCAACGGAUCUCUUGGCUCUC
rnacentral:misc_RNA from 1 species